GCCAGCAGCAAUAUCACCCUGCAGCUCUCAAUUGGCUACCUACUGAAGCUAAUCAGGGUCGAGCCUUGUCAGUAUCUUGACGGGAGACCUCCUGGGAAGCUAUGGUUGCUGCUUAAA
rnacentral:rRNA from 1 species